GCCAGGCACAGUGGCACAUGCCUGUAAUCCCAGUGGCUCGGGAGGCUGAGGUAGGAGGAUCGAGGGUUCAGAGCCAGCCUCAGCAACAGCAAGGUGCUAAGCAACUCUGUGAGACCCUGUCUCUA
rnacentral:sRNA from 1 species